CGCCUCCUUCUCUAAACCUAAUCCUCAAUUCAGUUCUCACUCGCCGCUUUCUAGCUCUAAUCCCUUCACAUGGAACUUCAAAGAUCUAGUUUCGUUGAAUUCGUCUUCUAAUUUCUUGUAAUCUUUGUGUUGUUUAGGUGUUUUUGUGUAAUGGAAUCUAGCAUUGUCAGUUGGUGAAGAUGGAGAAGAGGCGGCGUUGGUCGGCCCUUUCCUCAUUGAAGCUCUUCAAAAUUCAAAACCCUCGUCAUCGUCUAACCACCAGCGACAAUCAAUCAGCAAUUCAGCAAACAUCCUAAAGAGAGAGAAAACGAGAGCGAGACGAACUCGAGGAGAAGACUUGGAAAUCUCCAUUUGAACAGCAGAAGGCGGAGAGCUGAAGUUCUUGACAAGCCCCAAUCUAGUACCAGCGACGGAGCUGGAAGCUGAAUGAGGAGAGUGAAAGCGGAAGUCCAGAGAUUUCGAGGUAGAAGAUGAAGAAGAGUGAUUUAUGGAUUAUUGGGUAUUGUUAAUUAGGUUUGCUUUGUUAUUAAGGGACGAUGGAAAUGGAUGUGUUGCUACCAUUGGUGUGACAUCCGAUUCAUUGUGUUCAUCUCCGAGACUGAAAAAUGAGAUGAUAGCCUUUUUCCUUGUGCAUGCUUUAAGAUUCUAACAUUCGUGCUCAAUCAAUUUGGAAGCCAUGAACCUGGCUCAAUUCGUGAGAUUAAGAAUUUUGCGUGUACAAGAUUCAAAGCUGAGUACCCCAUUUUGAUAAGGUACGUGGACUACAAGAUUCAAAGCUGAGUACCCCAUUUUGAUAAGGUACAUGGACGUGAAUGGUCCAAAUACAGUACCAGUGUACAGUUCCUCAAGUCCAGUGUGGUGCGUUUUUGGGUGACUUGGUCAAGUGGAAUUACGAUAAGUUAUUGGUGGACAAAAAGGGCAAGGUUGUAGAGAGAUACACACCUACAACAUCCCCUCUCCAGAUUAAGGUCCUUGAUGCAUUUGAAGAUUGUAGUGGUGGAAAAUUGGAACCAAGGGAUGAUGCGUAGCUCCUUCAACUAUGAAGCCCAUGUUCUUGAAUUUAUAGGCUUUUAAUGGCCUUUGUUUUGAAGAUGAC